UGGAAAAGAGAGAGCCCUUCAAACGUAGUCCUUCCCACCCCACAGUGAACCUCAUCAGGGCUUCCAUCUCAUGCCACAAGAAUGAUGUUGCUUUUAUGAGUAGUACACAUGACCUGAAAGGGUGAACAGCAGUGCCAAAAAGUCACAGAACUCAUGUUACACAAGCGAGGACUUUGCAGCCAAGGGAAACUUCAUUGAAUGCUGACAUAUCAAGCAGCAGCUUGCAGGACGGAGUCCCAAAGAGCAAUUCUCAGGAGAUGGAAGUCAGCAUCUCACCCUUCUUAUGCAAACAAGAGAGAGAACAGUCCACCACAACAGUGACAGAAAAGCUGACUAUUGAAGCCUUUCCAGGACUAGGUCAAAGGGGCAGCGUGCAAUCCAGGAGCUGCUUACGGAGUCCCUUCUGCUUUUUGAGGUCCACAUGAAGAUAACAGUCAAACACAUGGCAAUUCUGUCUCCUACAUUAUGAUAAAGAUGAACCUCCGUGCAGGAGUAAUGCAGUCCAGUGGCACUUUUGAGAGAUUAAACUGCCUUCUUCCUGAGAAAUAUCAGCAAAAAUAAUUUUAAAACUUUUGAACAGUAAAAUGCAUGCAAUCUGGUUUGAUUAAUAGAUUGUAAAGCCAGACGGGACCACUGGGAUCAUGUGAUCUCCUGUAGUAUAACACAGGCUACAGAACUGCCCUGAAUUAAUU